rnacentral:rRNA from 1 species
GUGGGGAAUAUUGGACAAUGGGCGCAAGCCUGAUCCAGCCAUGCCGCGUGUGUGAAGAAGGCCUUUUGGUUGUAAAGCACUUUAAGCGAGGAGGAGGCUACCGAGAUUAAUACUCUUGGAUAGUGGACGUUACUCGCAGAAUAAGCACCGGCUAACUCUGUGCCAGCAGCCGCGGUAAUACAGAGGGUGCAAGCGUUAAUCGGAUUUACUGGGCGUAAAGCGCGCGUAGGUGGCCAAUUAAGUCAAAUGUGAAAUCCCCGAGCUUAACUUGGGAAUUGCAUUCGAUACUGGUUGGCUAGAGUAUGGGAGAGGAUGGUAGAAUUCCAGGUGUAGCGGUGAAAUGCGUAGAGAUCUGGAGGAAUACCGAUGGCGAAGGCAGCAAUCUGGCCUAAUACUGACACUGAGGUGCGAAAGCAUGGGGAGCAAACAGGAUUAGAUACCCGGGUAGUCC